AAAGUUUAUGUGCAGGAACUCAGUACAUCUAAAGCACUCUGGUGGAUUUAAUGUGAGGGGAAUUAACAAACAUUUUGAAAAAAAUGAGAUCCAAAGCAUGUCUGGGUACUUGAGACUGCUGGAGUUUGUGCAGGAGGUUUUUGUACGGCCGCUUAAUGAGUCUGUAUCACUGUGGUACACUUUUGGUGGAGGAACCAGACUGUCUGUUGGAACUGAUACUCGGCCCAGCCUGACGCUGCUUCCCCCCUCCAGUGUGGAGCUGCAGCAGGGGAAGGCCACACUCAUGUGCCUGGCCACCAAGGGCUUCCCCUGGGACUGGAGGCUGAGCUGGAAGGUGGACGGGAGCAGCAGGAGCUCCGCGGGGAGCCAGAGCCCUGCGCUCCUGGAGAAGGACGGCCUCUACAGCUGGAGCAGCACCCUCACCCUCACCCAGGACCAGUGGAGGAAGGGGGCAAAGGUCACCUGUGAGGCCACACAGGGCAACCAGCAUCCCGUCACUCAGGACAUCAAGACGGGAGACUGCUCCGAGUAGAGACAGAGCACUCACACACGCUUGCACAGAGGGAGAAACACACACACACACACAC